UGCGUGCCAUUGAGUAUCGGAGACGUGUUCUAACGAUUCGCGAGUAUAUGUAUGGGCCCAAAUAGCUUUUCUUAGAAAAUGGAAGUUUCUUACCCGAUCUCUGAGUGCAUAUAGCCUACAUAUAUGGGCCCAAUUAGUGGUAGAGAUCAGAGAAGUCACCUCUAGUGAUAAAAGGUUAUAGAGCCUAAUGCUUUUCCUUGUUUUGCUAGGUUAGUAGGUUAGGAGUAGCCGAGUAGUCCAUGACACGUAACCAUCAUGCCCGCGACCAACCUCGAAUUUGUGUACCUCAGUACCUACAUGUUACACCAAGGAUAAGACCACAGAGGCCAACAGUAUGAAAUGAACUUAGCUAAGAACCAAAUUAUUGAUUGGAUAGUUAGGAUAGUGGUUAUAUAUCCUCAGCCCACCACCCACCAAUAAUGAAAGGGUGUGGUUACGUCUCAGUCGCCUGAUUUUUAAGC
rnacentral:lncRNA from 1 species